GGAGUUGUGGCUCAGUGGUAGAGUGCUUGCCUAGCAUGCACAAGGCCCUGGGUUCGAUCCUCAACACCA
rnacentral:tRNA from 1 species